UAAUCGACAAAGUUUCCUGGUAGCUUGUUACUACUGGUCGGUGAAUCUCUUGACUUGGUACAAAGAGCAUGCCACUGUUAAGACGCUAUGAUCGAGAACAGGUACGCAUGACAAAUGUUCAUGAUGUGAUUCGCAUUCUGCGGCUCGAGUCAGUCGCAACUUUACAAGCAAAAUGAUUUGACACCGAUGCUUUUUCGAGGUAACUUUUAAUAUUUCUUGUUUUAGCUUCAGACAAUAUGAUGGCUACAGUGCAGGCAUGUCUGCUGUAGUGCUAUAACGGAAAGGAAAUUCAGAAAGCGAAGCACAGCCUUUUGUGUUACAAGAGUAUCUCAUUCUUCAGCUGUUUACGACUCGGCAGUUUUUCCGAAUCUCACCGUUGGUACCAGUGAGAGGGUUCAAGUUUCCCAUCUUCACCAUGGAAACUGCAA